ensembl:lncRNA
CAACAUCUCCAGCUUUGCAAUGGCUUGUUUGAGGGGAAGGCACUGAGAUAUGUGUACAUGUGAGAACUGACUGGCAGGAGACAUGUCUGCUCGCUGCCUCCAAGCAUGGCAAAACCCUUCUCAGCAGCUCCGCGCCAACACAUUUGCAUGGCAUGGACAGGGACCCUGCAGGAGUGGGACCAGCACAGCGGCUCUCUCCCUCCAUCCCCCACCGGAUUUAGCAUCGUGAGCCACUGACGUUUACUGGCCCUGAGUUGAGAGGGUGGUAACAUCCUCAACCCAGCAGAGCUGAACUGAUGAAGGUCAUGAAUCAAAUGUUGGACAUGAGGACUUCGACACAGUCAUCCCCUGUCCCAAGAGCAUCAUCUGGCUUUAGAGUCAGGGGUGACCUCACUGCAGCCUUCCAGCACCUAAAAGGAGCCUACAAACAGGAGGGGAGCCAACUCUUUACAAGGGGAUUGCUGGCUGCUGGCACGCAGAUCUGGACCAUUACAUGGAGCAGGCACAAGCUGUAUGAAAGCAGAAAGGAUCGCACUGUCGGCAUCAGCAAUAGCUCAUGCUACGCCUGCAGAGAC